GACAACACCAACCAAACGUACAACCUUAUCAAUAAUUCAACAACCUGAAAUAUCGAUAAUCCCAAUAAUUUAAACGUUGAUAGCUUUCAGCAUUAAUGUUUUCACCCAUAAACGAUGAUGAUAACCCAUCCACAACCUCAGCCAGCAACCAAAUCACCCCCAAAAACCCAUAUUCCGUGAAACCAGAACCCAUUGACCCAUUUUUAGCCAAGGNNNNNNNNNNNNNUCUUUCCCUUUCAGUUCGCAUGGAUAGCGUGACCUCCACGUGAGUUCAUUCGUCGAAGGACCUCGAGUCUUCUAGAAUGAGUCAAUGUGUCUCCCCCAAUGGCCCAAUUCUACAAAUUUCGGGUUCAUUGGUAUAGAUUCACACACUCGAUUGUUUCUUAUUGGUUCGCGAAGAGAACUCCACUUUAUAGGUUGAAAAAUUUUUAAACCCCUGGGAAGAAUCCAAAAAUGAGUACGAAAGGGGAAACCCGAUGUUAUCCUUUUCAAGGGUGGAAAGAAACCCUAGCAUGAUGGAUUUCUCUGUAAAGAGGUAGAGGUUAGAGGCUGUUAGGGGGAUUAUUUUUCAAUCGGAGAGAGCCCUAAAAGAAACCUUAGAAGUCUCUCUACAAAAUAGUUGAUCAAAAAAAAUGAGGAUUUCUUUUAUCUCGUUUCUCCUUUUCUUUCCCUUUUGAGUUGGUAGUUUUAAAAGUAAAGGUGGGUUUAAAAUAUUUUCAGAAAAGCUGAGGGUUGAAAAUAUUUAGUUUGAAAAUAUGGGGGGGUUUCAAAAUCUCUAAGAGGAAAAGAAAAGGGACACUCUGUUGGUGGUCGACGUCGCGAGAUUUCGAUAGCGACAAGUUUGCUAAUAGCUCGUUGUUCUAUUUGCUUCGCCAAAAGAGGUAAAUGCACGCUCGUCCCUCUUUCUGCUUCAUUUUGAUGUUUCUUGCUUCAUCCCACUUUCUUCGUAGAAGUAGUUAUCUGUGUAUCGUGAAUGAUACUGGGGUGUCUGUUUAGGCUGUCUGUUGUAGAGGUCUUAAAGACCACAGAGCACAGUUUGCUGAAAUUAUUGCUUGUCAUAUAAUUAUGUGUGGUGUCAAAUUGCUAGCUUAACGGUUAAGGAAUACUUCUUGAGUCUCACAUGCAUGUCUCAACUUUGUAAUCUGCUACUUGAUUUAACCUUGUUAAUUAGUUUUUCGAUUCGCUGCUAUGUAUUGGUAUUGAUCGUGGAUUUAAUCCAAUGUUUCACUUCACUAGUUAUCCGGCGUAUCAUGUUAUAAUUGGUAAUACAUAAAAGUUUCACGUGUUAAUAGUUGUAGGGAUAAUAAUAUCCUAUUACAAAUGAUCCUACGUCAAGUUCGUGUUUUGCAUUUAUUUCAUAGUUUCAGGGUGCGGGUAUGUUGUUCUAUCUGAUCUCCUGGGUAAGGUUCAGUAUUUUUACUUGUUUAGUAAGUGUAGAACUGCCAGAGUUCUGUUUACCUGAUUCGAUGGUUAGUGUCGCGUGUUUUGGCGCUUAUCAAAGUUCUGUUGAAAUUUUGUUGAUCUUUUCAUGACUAAGGUGGCCUAUUUUUGUUUCGUUUGAUAAAUUUUGGGUUUCCAAAGUUCGUUUACCUAAUCUCAGUGUUCCUUUCAUUAUGGGAUUGUAAAGUUUGAACUUGUUAUUUCACCUUCGAGUUCAUUCUAAGUCGAUAUUUCUACUUUUUGGAUCCCCAAGGGAAAUGUAAUUGUCUUAUUGAAAGAGGAUGGGUAGGGUCCCUUCGAUAUUGUAUUUGAGUCUGAAUGAUAUUGUAUAAUGAAGAUAUGAUCUUGACUUUCAAAUGACCCGGCUUAUGAACAUCCUUCGCAUUUUGUUCUAAGCCUGAAUGUUUAAAUUUUGAGGUUAUAAUAUGCGAAAAGAUUAUUUUGACCAUUAAGAGAAACGAGUCUUUCGUUAUGUGUUUGGGACUCCCCGUGUUUCAUUCUUGGUGUUUUAUAUAGUGUUCUAACGAUGUGUUUGAUGUAAAUUAUUUGGGUGUAUUACUAGUGUUAGCUAAAGUUCCUCAACUCAUUAAUUAAUAUGAAAGAUUUAAGCUGGUGGCAGUGCAUUUGAUGUAAGGGACAUUCUCCCGCUUUGCUCAAACUAAUUUUCUUUGAUUGCCUCUCCAUGGUUCGAUAUUUUGAGUUUUCUAUUUGUUAUUUUCCAACUAAUCUUAUAGGAUUUUGAGGGUACGCAUAGGGAAGAUUUUGACUCAGAAUGUUGUUUGCCUAUAUGAACGCACCCUCACACUUCUCAUUAGCCUUAUGGCUUUGUUUUGACUGACUAGGAGUUAGUUUGCUCGGUGAUGUCUUUCAUUUAGAUAGUCAUAUGUCAUGCAUCUUAUUUUUUUUAUUUAUUUCCUUGAUUUAAUUUUUGUGUUUCUCUCCUUUAACCCCCCUUUUCCUUUUCUUUCUUAGUUGAUCAAAUAUUAAUGGUCAUUACUUUCUUGCUUUGCAUAAACCCGCUUGAGAGUCCAAACGGACUUUUUCCCUUGCGUUUCGCAGUGGGCCAUGGAGGCCCAUCCUUUAGGAGACUUUGAAAAGCAAAUUGCAUGGCAUACAGAUACAAGAAGUCGAAAGAGGAAUAAUGGGUUAAAAUCCCAUACUUAAAGCGACGAUGAAGCCCGAGCCUCAUUUCUGUUUCUUUAUUUAAUGUCAUUAUCUACCUAUUGUUGUCAUUUUAUUAUUAUUUAUUUCCUCUUUUUUCUGUCAUUAUUCAUUCAUUUAGGCCUCGAAGCCGAAUUUGUAUUUAAUAUAGGUGAAGUGAGACUCGAGCUAAAGCCUCGCAAACAAAGAAUUAGGGUAGGUGAAAAUGGGUCGAAAACCAAACUAGAUUAGGACAGGGUCGAUGGUUUGGGCUUAAAAUCCCAAAUCACCACUUCCCCGCUUUUCCCCUUUUCCUUUCAUUUACUUGUUUACUUAUCUCUUUGCGAACCUAGUUAAAUCCCUAACUAAGUCGCUAAAAAACUGAUUUCGUGAAAACCUUUUCCUUAGUCAAUUACUUUUCCAACAAACCGAUUUUCCAAAGUUAAUCAAAAGAAUGUUUUCAAACAGUCUAGAUAACCGCAAGUUAGUGGACGUUGAAGGUGCCUAAAACCUUCCUAAAACGUUAAUAGGAACCUCUUACUCAGAAUCUCUAAGUUAAAACGAUUUUUCUGUUUUGAUCGUUUUAAGUAACUCUCUAAAGGUUUCUUAAUUCCUUUUCAAAUUUAAGUGGCGACUCUAUCAAAAGUCAAAAAUUUCCGCAAAACAGAAAUGGCGACUCUGCUGGGGACCUCUAACUAGGUUCUAACCAAAUGUUUAAUUUCGUCUUUUGAUUAACUGUUUAUGUAUUUAUGUGAGUCGAUUCUGUAGAGUUUAAUUAUCGCAUCUCAUGGCAUAUUCCUACAUCAUUUAAACUAUUUUGGGGUUUCGUGGGUAUCCCGGCCCCUAUUGAUCAAUUCCAAAAAUGUGUUAGAAAUACAAACAGUUUAUUAGCACGUGAGUCGUCUGAUGGCUGUUUGUAUUUUCAAACUCAAGUUGUCCGCUUGAGAACUAGUAUUCAAACCCACUCUAGAUACCUAGGAUAGAGCGAAACCAAAACCCUAUUUCAGGCAUGAGCUUAGGAUGACCCAAUACCCAAGCGGGGUAUUUGGCCCAUUAGAAAAUUUGUCAUGCGUCUAUUGACCCCGAGUCAAUUAAUGACAAACCAUAUUUAUGUGUUGAAGAAAAUGUAUGCCUGUCUAAUUCAAUCUAUUAUCCAUUGGGGGUCGGGAGAAGACUUGCUUUACUCACUUUUGUAUAAGUAUGCCUCAAUCGUACACCAAUUGACGAAGGAAUUGAAGCAAGUUAAGCAAGAAAUUGAUCGAUUUGGGAGGUUGCAUCUAAGGCACAGUUUGAACAUCAAUGGAUGUCACCAAUAUAAGAAAUGGACGAAGCUAAGAAGGUGAAAGUUGAUAGAAGAAGCACUCAGGAAUUAGUAUUUUCUAUCCCCAGUGUGGGAACGUGUCUUUUUCAUGUUAUUUCCCUUUCCCUAAAGAUUGUAUCCCUUUUAUUAUAUAUUUUGUAGGAAUUUAUGCCCUUUUAGAGUUUACAAAAGUUGGGGGAUAAUUGAUUGACCUUAAGCAAGCAUAUAUUUUUUUUCAAAAAUCGUAGGCCUGAACCCUUGGCUCAAAAAGGGUCACCCCAGCUAGGCUAUGCAUUAUUAUGUUUUGUGUGAUAUAACUAUUUUAUGUGCUUAUGUGCAUUUGUUUGGAUCAAAGGCAAGUUUAUCCACUAUGUCGUAUGGAUGAAUUUGGCUAUGACUCAAACAAAUCUAUGUGGUUAUUUCCUGUCAAAUAUUUUGCAUUACUUAUCACAUACGGAAACUAACACAUCUGCCUUUGAGUUGUUUUACUUUACAGAUAAUAGAAAUUACUCUGUGUUAACAUAAACUGGCAGAACAUCUCUACUUCACCCGAUCGAAAGCGCACAAAAUCCCAUCCUCUAACAAUCAUUCAAAAAUGAUAGAAAAUUAUGAAGAAAGCACACUGACUAUCCGGGACAAUGUGAUAGCAGAGCAGAAUAAGAUGAUUGCGGAACUUGCAAGAAAGUUAGAAAUACUUCAGAAGAAAUAAAUCACACUCUGGAUUUGGCUAACUUGGCCAUUACCGUCAAUGCCCCCGCUCCAGGAGGACACAGGACUCCACUCCAAAUUCCUCCCCUCAGUACCCCUACUCUUGGGGAUCAGCCAAAUAAUGUAUUGUCCGUCUCCGCUCCUCCAUUUGUCCAAAAUACCAAUCAUGAAAAUAACCCAGACGUCUACCCUCUGCAAAAUCCACAGAACCCGUCUCUGAAUCCAUUCCCAAAUCCUCAAAACACAUUUUCAAAUCAACAAAAUGCAUUCCCAAAUCCGCAAGAUUCACUCUCAAACCCACAAAAUACGUCAAACCUACCUUCAAAUCCCCCAAAUUCAUUUUCAAAUCCACAAAAUCCUUCUCAGAUUCCGUUAAACUAAUCGCAAAGUCCGCAUAACCUUCCCAAUUUCCAAAACUUCCUCCCCACUUACCAACCAAAUUCCUUUCAUCCAUAAAAUCAAGCCUCCCUUCCAAAUCCCUCUCAGGCCAUCGUAUCCCCUGAUAUCUAUGAACUCCUUUCUAAUUGCGAGAUGGACCAUUACGAGGAGAAUGAGAAAGAGUGGAGGACCGAGCAUGAAAGAAAUUUACUAGCUAUGGAGGAAGAGAUCAUGAGGAUCAAAGAGUCUCAUGGAGUCAGGGACCACGACAGUUUGGGGUAUGACGAUUUAUGUGUUCACCCUGGAGUAGACCUACUGGAUGGGUACAAAAUUCCUAAGUUUGAAAUAUUUGACGGUACCAAAAAUCCAAUGGACUAUCUGAGAAGGUACUGUGAGUAACUGAUAGGGAUAGGUAAAAAUGAGGCAUUGUUGAUAUGCCUAUUCAGUCGAAGUUUAAGCAGCAAAGCCUUAGAAUAGUUCAUGUCUCAGGAGCCGAAAAGAUGGACAGGAUGGAAAGAAUUAGCCAAGGUUUUCCUUGACAGGUUUGCAUUCAACAUUGAAAUAGUCCGUGAUCGAUAUUCACUAGAUCGGAUCAAACGGAGGAAUGAUAAGAGUUUUCGAGACUAUGCUUUUCGUUGGAGGAAAGAAGCUGCCAAAGUGCAACCCCCAUGUCCGAGGAAGAAAUGGUAUCCAUGUUCUCUCGCACACAAGAAAUAGAAUAUUAUACCAGGAUGAUGUCAGAUGUUAGGGAAACUUUUACGAAUUUAGUAAAAAUAGGAGAAUCAUUGGAAGAAGGUAUUCGUACAGGGAAAAUUGCCAAGACCCCGGCAUUAUCUAGGGCUGCCAUGUUUUCGAAGAAGAAAAAGGAAGAUGUAGGCACGAUUUCUGCUAAUCUUAUUGCAAAAAACAAAAAAGAAGAUCAACUCUAGGAAUGUUUUCUCUUCUCCGCCAUCACCAAGCUUUCAACAUGUAUUCUAUGCCCACCCCCAAUACCAAGCUCUACAGCUAAAUAUCUCCCCCCAAUACCGAGCCCCACUCCCAAACCUCCAAUCCUCAUACCAAGCUCCACAGGCAAAUAUCUUUCCCCAAUACCUAGUUCCACAUCCAAAUUAUCAGUCUUAUUUCCAAUCCACUCCUCAAAAUAACCCAACAAAUUCCCAAGCGCCUCCAAAUUAUCACCAAGUACCUCCUCCUACAAAUCAAAUCCAUUAUAACCCCCCACAUCCAAACCACGAAAAGAAAUUCCCCAAAACUUCACACCACAAAAUGAAAGUCGCACCCAAUUUUUUGAAAGAUUGAAGAAAUGCUGGUCAUUUGCAACCAAUACAGCCAAGGACUGUCAAUCCUAACUCUUGAUUUUUUAAUGCAAGUCAACAUUGUUCCUAUCAUUAAGGAGCAGUGAGGCACAGUACUAAGGAUUGUAUCUACCUGAAACAUAGGAUCCAGGAUUUAAUCGAUCAUAAGGUCAUCACGCUCGAGGCACCUACACCAAAUGUUAAUAGUAAUCCAUUGCCCAACCAAUGGGGACCUAUAGUUAACAUGAUUGAAAUAGAGGAUGAAUAGAUGUUAAAUAAUGAUGGUCUUGGGGAUGGGAUAGGAAAUCUGUUCAAGGGAUGCAAUGUUGUACCGGAAGAUUUUUUAAAACACAGUUGGGUAAAGAAGGUUGCACCAGGAGAGGCUUUACAAAAUUAGACUUCCACUCUGCUCCUAAUUCGUCACCCGUCGUGGUAGAUGGAAGGGCAAUUACUAAUAGUUUUUAAAAUCGGUGAUGAUCCAGAGAAGGCCCCAUGAUCCACCCUUUUAUGUUUCAAAUUUUUGUUUCGUGUUUUAAAACUUUCAAAAAGGCAUGGGCCCACAUUUAUGUGGGUCAUAAUCCAUGGUUUUUAUUUAUUUAUUUUCGAAAAGGCCUCCCUUUAUUUAAGAAGUUAUUUUUUUAAAAUAUGAUUAUCUAGCUUGGUUUAUUUUGGUAGCAUUAAUUUAAAAACCUGCCAAUGUCAUGUCAUGUCAAGGGUUAGACGAACAAGGCAAAGGAAAUAAUGAUGAACAGAUAAGGUGAUAAGGAGCAGCUAGUAGUAGAUAUAGAGGAAUGUGAAAAUCAAAAGAAGCCCAACCUGGAAGAGCUCUGAUUUUGUCAUAGAUGGAUAGCACAGAGUGGACCAAACCAAUCAAUUCUGAUGUGGUAAAGAGAUAUUAUGUUUGAAGGACGUUCUAGUUUUCGUGUUUCUUUAGUUAAUUUACUUGUAAUCACGUUCGUAGUAAUGUUUUUUUCUAGUAUGUAACUGCCUAGAAUCCUUUCCCUUUAUGUACGAACUACGUUUGACCUAAAUUCCCAAGAAAGGGAUUCAUAAUCGGCCUAUGUCGGCUUCGGUCAACCCCUUGGGACAAUUUAUCCUUUCCCUUUAUUUACGAACUAUGUUUGACCUGAAUUCCCAAGAAAGGGAUACGUUGGCGGCCUAUAUUGGCUUCGGUCAACCCCUUAGGACAAUUUAUCCUUUCCCUUUAUGUAUGAACUACGUUUGACCUGAAUUCCUAAGAAAGGGAUACGUAGGCGGCUGCUUUGGUCAACCCUUAGGACAAUUUAUCCUUUCACCCUAUGUAUGAACUACGUGAUGACCUGAAUGCCGAAUAAAAGGGAUAC
rnacentral:lncRNA from 1 species